AUGUUUCUAUUAUUAUUUUUUUUUAUACACUGCCCAAGGUUUUUACUGUACGAUGUAAUUACAUGCCCUUUCUCUUAUCUUUCCUUCAUUUUCUCUAAUGUACAGUUAAUGGUCCCUACUCCCAGGCUGUUACUAAGUUGCUCUGUUGUACUAUUUGGUUUGACUUUGGGUUACAGUUUGCUGUUUUUGGGGGGCAGAGGGUUGCAGCUCAGCAUGCCCCUCUUUCACCAGUACCUGUCACUCUUGGUGCUCUUGGCUUAUGCUUCAUUGUCUUAAUAUUCAAAAAUAAAAGUGUUGUAUGUGUAAUCUGUUUUCCUUGAUUUCCUUUUUUAUUCCCUUUUUAUUGACACCUGGGGCCAGUUUCAUAAAACAAGUUUACCAAAUAAGCCAGUUUUUUUUCAGUUAGUUUGACUGAUUGUCAGUUGAUUUGGUUCAAAAUAAGACAGACUAACUGAAAUAAGCCUGGCUUAUUUGAUAAACUUGUUUUAUGAAAUAACCCCCAUCUUUUUGUUUUUAGUUUAGUCCCUUGUCCUGGCAGUGUAUUAGCAUUACACUGCUAAGCAUUGUGCUAACAUGUUUAAAAAAAAAAAUUGCUAGAGCAGUUAAGAUGAUAUUGUGCUACAUUUUUGAUUAGGCAUUGAGGAAAGGGAUCUUGCAUGACUCUAAGACUGAAGGAAGAGUCAGGUUGUCAUGCAGUGAGUUCUGUUGAAAUCAGGUAAAAUUAUUAUUGGGUUCAGUUUAUCCGCAGCAGAUCUUUUUAAUAACUAAAAGGCUGCAUCGAUUGAGGAGGAGAUGAAAGAUGGGAGGUAGGUGAAAAAAUGAUGUAACCUCUCAAUCUAAUGCACUAGCUAUAUCGAACCAGUAUUAUGUAAUGCACUUCUUACCAAUUCUGUAUCAACCUGCGUUCCAUGUCUUUUCAGUCCCCUAUUCUGGUCUCUUCAGGUCAGUGGGUAAAUGUGUAGGGACCUGCAGGAGUUCAGUGCGGUUGGAGUCUGCCUUAAAGACACUGUACUGUGCUAUAAAUAUACCCAGACAUCUGCGCCUUGCCAACAUUUAGAAGUUCACAGUAAGGUUCUUGUGGUCUUGUGUUAGCCACAAUGGAAUAACAGUGUUCAAGUGACAUCUGGUUCAUCUGGUCUUGUCAUCCAGCUCAAACAAGGUAAGAAAAGAAAUAACUUACCUUGUUUCUUUAUUGCAGUCAAGGCACAUAAACGACUGACAAUUUAAAAAAAAAAAUACUUACUUCUGUCUUCUGCUAGUGACUUUUGACAUUUGAAAAAAGAAAAAUCCAUCCUAUUCAUUUACCUUCAGAGCCUCUGUAAUGCUCAGCUCUAGCCCUUGUGGCUCAAAAUACCUUUCUGUAUUGACUGUUUUGUAAGUUUGUAGAAAAGGUCCCAGGUCACUCACCUCUUAUUGCUGUACCCAGUUUUGAGAUUGCCUUCUCCUCGUCUCUGUGAUACUAUAAUAUGUUGUCAGUUCAUCAUUAAGGCUCUCCGUCUCUUUCGCAGAAACGGGGAGGACAAGGGUCGGGUUGCAUUCUCUCCUCUGCACGCCAUGUCUGGCUGGGGUUUGUAAGACACCCAUCUUAAUGAGCAGUGGACUGCCAAAUGACACUCAGUAAACCUAUUCAUCAAACAAUCCACAUCAAAGUUGUCCUCUAGAAAUUGUUUUCCUUUUUUUUUAAAGGCAUCUGCUUUUUGCUGGAUUAAUCUCGAUACAGUAACUUCAAAGAAGUCUAUGAUUUGCUAUUGAUUAAGAGUUCUAAGAAAUCGCUCCUGCCAACACUGAGCUGUAACUGUUCACACACAAACAGACAGUCACUGACAGUUGCAGGUCUCUUUUGGAGGUCUUGUUAAAUGGUUACUCCACCCCAAAAUGAAAAUUUUUAUUAAUCACUUUACCCCCAUGUUGUUCCAAACCCGUCAAAGCUUAAUUCGUCUUGAGAAUACAAUUUAAGAUACUUUGGAUGAAAACCGGGAGGCUUGUGACUGUCCCAUUGACUGCCUAGUAAAUUACACUGUCAGUGUGAAAGACAUCAUCAGAAUAGUCCAUCUCUUCUGUUUUACUCUAAAAAUUGGUUGAUUUUAUUUAGGGUGUUAUACCACAAACAGCCACUGGUUGCCAUUCAAACUCCAUUGAAUUUUUUUAAUGCAUUUUUCUGUCACAAAUAUCUAGAUUUCUCUGUCAAUUUUACUACACAAAAAUAUGGAAUCCUGAGACUUAGACCUUUCCAAAGAUAUGUUUUUUGUCAAGAUUAUAAAAAGUUUGGAUUGUAAAAGACUAAUGCAUUUUGUAAUAUGACACUUGACACCGCCCACUAAGGGGAAGGAGAAAGCCAAAAGAUUUUAAAGUACAAUUUCCAUGAUAAAUCAAUGUCUUUUUUCACAGGAUGAAUUUUGGGCUUCUAAGCUUUCAAAUUAUAUAUAACUUAUGAUUACUAAAAGAUUUGAUUGAGAAAAAGGACAACAAAAAAAGAGCGCCAACCAACGGUGACAACUAAGGGGUUAAAGCCAUAUAAAGGCAUGCGAUAUACUGAAAUUAAAGUCAUUAUUUACUUGAUUGAUUCUUAAGAUAUAACCACUUAUACAUAAAAAUGUCCACUAAUACAUUUUUACAUCAAAAAACAUAAUUUAGAAGUAUUAGGCUAUUUUCUGUGCUUUGACCCCCCUCAUUGGAAUGCUCUGUUUAAAUAGGUGUGGCAGAUUGUAGACUCAGAAGUAAAUGCCCACUGAUAUGAUUGGCUAACAGUUGUGUAUGUUUGACAGCUUACAUCCUUCACAGAUGGUGGCUGCUGUGUUUUAGGUUUAAAACGCAUAAAUUUUCAGUGCAUAUCAAACAGUCUGUAAUAACAAAGCAAUAGUGACCACGUAAUAAAAACAAUUACUCACACACUUGUGUGGUGCAACAUUACUGUCCGAUCCAAUAUAGUCAGCACAGCAUUGUCUUUUAGUUUCAGUCUUUCUGAAAAUCCUGUGUCGAAUUGUUUGUAAACGAAUUUGCAGUAAAAUUAAGUGAACAAAGGACCAAGAUCUUACUGACGCGGUCUGGAAUGUCAUUAAAAAUAAAGUUCAUCAAAUAAAUUUUAUUGCUUGGUUUCCGCGUAGA
rnacentral:lncRNA from 1 species